CUCGACCAGGUCUGUGGUUGCGGGAGGGGCGGGCGUCUGCCCGCGCCGACCAAGUCCAUGCCAGACGAGGGCAAAGGGAUCCACGUAAGCCCGGGCGUGCGCGCCCGUGCGAUCAUGGCUCGUCCUAGAGGUAAGUCGUACCGCCCGUCAUACGCAUGAGGCAUCCGGCCUCGCGGGCGAGAGGGGCUAGAGUGGAGGCGCCGCGGCGCCGAAAGCGACGCUCCCGGUACGCGGGUGUGGGGGCAAAGACCAGGUCAGCUGGGAGAG
rnacentral:ncRNA from 1 species